rnacentral:rRNA from 1 species
GUUCGAUCUCAAAUCAGGUAGGACUACCCGCUGAACUUAAGCAGGGGGAAACCGCUGAUUAGCUUAA